GGCGGCUCAGAGGUUAAAGCAUCUGCCUGAAAUGCAGGAGACCCAGGUUUGAUUCCUGAGUCA
rnacentral:tRNA from 1 species